UAGGGUGUUAGUCCAAAGAAAGACCUCUGAUUUCGGCUCAGAAGACCGUGGUUCAACUCCAUGACUCCCUU
rnacentral:tRNA from 1 species